CAGCUUCAGCAGCAUAUAGACGAAAACUGGAAUGGGACAGAGAAGAUUAGUGUGAGUUCUGCACAAGGAUGGCAUGCAGAUUUGUGAAGUGUUCCACAUUAUA
ensembl:snRNA U6 U6 spliceosomal RNA